rnacentral:lncRNA from 1 species
AUGCGUGGUCCCUUUCCCAGAUGGUGAUGCAAGAUGACACGGAGGUUUAUCCUGGUUCGGGCAAGAGAAAGCCCUACGUCCAGCGGGGGAGGAGAGUUUGUAUUAUCUCGCACCUAAGUACUUGUACAGGGGUGAAUACAAGCGUGGUAUGAAGUAUGGGAGUUCUACUGCGUAUGGGCGUAGUGUUCCUGUCCGUUCUAUUCCUGAGUCCCUCCUUUUAUAGCU